rnacentral:rRNA from 1 species
UACGUAGGGUCCGAGCGCUGUCCGGAAUUACUGGGCGUAAAGAGCUCGUAGGUGGUUUGUCGCGUUGUUCGUGAAAACUCACAGCUCAACUGUGGGCGUGCGGGCGAUACGGGCAGACUGGAGUACUGCAGGGGAGACUGGAAUUCCUGGUGUAGCGGUGGAAUGCGCAGAUAUUCAGGAGGAACACCGGUGGCGAAGGCGGGUCUCUGGGCAGUAACUGACGCUGGAGGAGCGAAAGCGUGGGGAGCGAACAGG